GGGGUUGUACGGCUCGGAGGCAAGAGCGGUCAGCUAGCGAAUGCUGAUGGUUGCGGGUUCAAGUCCCGCCAACCCCC
rnacentral:tRNA from 1 species